GUCCUCAAGCCUAUUUUGAAGCCAAACUCGACGGAGAAAUAAAAAAAAGGUUUCGUUUUUUCUCCUUUUUCGUCGUGGCCUUUGACGGUGAGGAUGCCGACCGACUCAAGUGGUGUUAGAGAAGCGUUAGACGCAUGGAGAGGUGGUGGCUAGAGUGUGGCGGCCACUAGGGUUUCUUCCCUUAUUUUUUUGGUUGAAAAUUAGUUUAGUUUUGGGUCAUUUUUGGGCUACUAGGGUUUUAAUUUAUUUGGGCUGUAAUUGGUUUUGCAAUUUUGGGCCUGUAAAUUUGUUGUAAAUGGAUUGAGACUUCAUUUAUUUGCUUUAAAUUUGUUUUAUUUUUGUAA